AGCUCCUACGGGAGGCAGCAGUGAGGAAUAUUGGUCAAUGGGAGGAAUCCUGAACCAGCCAUGCCGCGUGCAGGACGACGGCUCUACGAGUUGUAAACUGCUUUUGUACCGGGGUAAAAUGCCUUACGAGUAGGGUUUUGAAAGUACGGUACGAAUAAGGAUCGGCUAACUCCGUGCCAGCAGCCGCGGUAAUACGGAGGAUCCGAGCGUUAUCCGGAUUUAUUGGGUUUAAAGGGUGCGUAGGCGGUAUUUUAAGUUAGUGGUAAAACGUCGGGGCUUCACCUUGAUUGGCCAUUAAAACUGGA
rnacentral:rRNA from 1 species